rfam:Microdochium bolleyi strain J235TASD1 unplaced genomic scaffold Micbo1qcscaffold_18, whole genome shotgun sequence.
GGCUUCGUGGCCCAAUGGCAAGGCGUCUGACUACGACGGUUCAAGAACACAACUUGGAUUCCAAAUUUGCAAUCAGGAGAUUCUGGGUUCGAUCCCCAGCGAAGUCA